rnacentral:rRNA from 1 species
AAUCUUCCGCAAUGGACGAAAGUCUGACGGAGCAACGCCGCGCGAGUGACGAAGGUCUUCCGAUCGGAAUACUCUGCUGUUAGGGAAGAACAAGUAGCGCUCGAAUAGGUCGGUACCUUGAGGUUAUCUAACCAGAAUGACACGGCUAACUACGUCCCAGCAGCCGCGGUAAUACGUAGGUGGCAAGCGUUAUCCGGAAUUAUUGGUCGUAAAGCACGCGCAGGCGGUUUCUUAAGUCUGAUGUGAAAGCCCACGGCUCAACCGUGGAGGGUCAUUGGAAACUGGGAAGCUUGAGUGCAGAAGAGGAGAGUGGAAUUCCAUGUGUAGCGGUGAAAUGAGUAGCGAUAUGGAGGAACACCAGUGGCGAAGGCGACUCUCUGGUCUGCAACUGACGCUGAGGCGCGAAAGCGUGGGGAGCGAACA